rnacentral:rRNA from 1 species
GAGUUUGAUCUUGGCUCAGAUUGAACGCUGGCGGCAUGCCUUACACAUGCAAGUCGAACGGCAGCACGGGAGCUUGCUCCUGGUGGGCGAGUGGCGAACGGGUGAGUAAUGCAUCGGAACGUAUCCUGGAGUGGGGGAUAACGUAGCGAAAGUUACGCUAAUACCGCAUAUUCUGUGAGCAGGAAAGCGGGGGUACCUUCGGGCCUCGCGCUCUUGGAGCGGCCGAUGUCGGAUUAGCUAGUUGGUGAGGUAAAGGCGUCACCAAGGCGACGAUCCGUAGCAGGUCUGAGAGGAUGAUCUGCCACACUGGAACUGAGACACGGUCCAGACUCCUACGGGAGGC